rnacentral:rRNA from 1 species
UACGUAGGGUGCAAGCGUUGUCCGGAAUUAUUGGGCGUAAAGAGCUUGUAGGCGGUUUGUCGCGUCUGCUGUGAAAUUUCGGGGCUCAACCCCGAACUUGCAGUGGGUACGGGCAGACUAGAGUGUGGUAGGGGAGACUGGAAUUCCUGGUGUAGCGGUGAAAUGCGCAGAUAUCAGGAGGAACACCAAUAGCGAAGGCAGCUCGCUGGGACGUUACUGACACUGAGGCGCGAAAGCGUGGGGAGCGAACAGG